rnacentral:pre_miRNA from 1 species
GCCUCAUCGGGAGUUCUUUUCAAGCACUUCAGGAUGCAUCUUUUGAGAACUUAUCUGAAGUGUUUGGGGGAACUCUCUGUGUCAC